rnacentral:lncRNA from 1 species
GAUUACAGGCACGCGCCACCACUCCCAGUUUACACCCCGCCACUCCUGAGCACCGCACACCGGCUUCCUCCCAGUCCCUCAUCUGAGAACUCAUGAAGCCACUUGGAAUCCCUCUCUGCUUUGCCUGGCUCAUUCCAUGUCAAUUUCAGAUCUUCACUUCAGGUCAGCUCCAAGGAGGCUAUCCUUGCCCAUCUUCCUAAAAUAGAGCUCUCAAAACCUGGCUGUUUUCCUUCAGAGCACUGGCCUCCAAUUGCUCCGGUAGAUUGCAAAUGACCUGCUUUCUUUCUGUUCCCGGGCGUUUGGACCCCUGUCUUGGACCGCUGUCGGAUAGUAAAUCCCAAGUAAGGUACCUGCCGUCGGCAGAUUUGAGCUUUCUUCUUGGACACCUAAUACCCAGAGUCCUCCAGGCUCCGGUAGAUUGCAAAUGACCUGCUUUCUUUCUGUUCCCGGGCGGCAUCGGACCCGUCGGAGAGUAAAUCCCAAGUAAGGUACCUGCCGUUGGCAGAUUUGAGCUUUCUUCUUGGACACCUAAUACCCACAGUCCUCCAGGCUCCGGUAGAUUGCAAAUGACCUGCUUUCUUUCUGUUCCCGGGUGGCAUCGACCCGUCGGAGAGUAAAUCCCAAGUAAGGUACCUGCCGUUGGCAGAUUUGAGCUUUCUUCUUGGACACCUAAUACCCACAGUCCUCCAGUAAAUCCCAAGCAAGGUACCUGCCGUCAGCAGAUUUGAGCUUUCUUCUUGGACACCUAAUACCCACAGUCCUCCAAGCUCCGGUAGAUUGCAAAUGACCUGCUUUCUUUCUGUUCCCGGGCUGCGUUCGGACCCCUGUCGGAUAGUAACUCCCAAGCUCCGGUAGAUUGCAAAUGACCUGCUUUCUUUCUGUUCCCGGGCUGCGUUCGGACCCCUGUCGGAGAGUAAAUCCGAAGUAAGGUGCCACCAUCCAAGUGAGGAUUUCACUGUUCACAGGCAUUUGAGACACACCAGCGGCCGGCGGUUCUCACUGCUCUUCAUAUGGAGGCAACCAUAUAUGGGUAAGUCAUUUAGUCUCUUAGGUAGGCGAACUGAGGCCAAUCUCCCCACUUUUAGGGCUGUGAAACUGUUCUGUAUGAUACAAUAAUGGUGGAUAUGCGUCACUAUACAUUCGUCCAAAUCCACAGAAUGUACAACACCAAGAGUGAACCCUACUGUAAACUAUGGACUCUGAGUGACAAUGAUGCAUCAAAUAGGUUCAUCAGUUGUAAUAAAUGCACUGCUCUGGUGCAGAAUGUUGAUGAUGGAGGAGACAGGGGUA